rnacentral:rRNA from 1 species
UACGUAGGGGCAAGCGUUGUCCGGAAUUAUUGGGCGUAAAGAGCGUGUAGGCGGUCCGGUAAGUCGGCUGUGAAAGUCCAGGGCUCAACCCUGGGAUGCCGGUCGAUACUGCCGGACUAGAGUUCGGAAGAGGCGAGUGGAAUUCCCGGUGUAGCGGUGAAAUGCGCAGAUAUCGGGAGGAACACCUAUGGCGAAGGCAGCUCGCUGGGACGUUACUGACGCUGGAGACGCGAAAGCGUGGGGAGCAAACAGG